CUUGAACGCUGGCGGCGGGCCUAACACAUGCAAGUCGAACGAGUUGCGGACUGGUGCGUGGUGUCUAGGAACCUGCGCGAUCGAGGGGGAUAACUACUGUCAACCGUAGCUAAUACCGCAUACCAUCGGCUGUUGCCCGUUGGGAUUAGCUAGUAGGUGGUGUAACGGCUCACCUAGGCGACGAUCCCUAGCUGGUCUGCGAGGAUGACCAGCCACACUGAAACUGAGACACGGUCCAGACUCCUACGGGAGGCAGCAGUGGGGAAUAUUGCACAAUGGGCGCAAGCCUGAGGCAGCCAUGCCGCGUGUAUGAAGAAGGCCUUCGGGUUGUAAAGGACUUUCAGAGAGGAGGCGUUACUCGCAGAAGAAGCACCGGCUAACUCCGUGCCAGCAGCCGCGGUAAUUC
rnacentral:rRNA from 1 species